CUUUUUGAGAAUAAUUUAAAGUCUAACCUGCCCAAUGAGUAGUUUAAUGGCCGCGGUAUCCUAACUGUGCAAAGGUAGCAUAAUAAUUAGUUUUUUAAUUGAAGGCUUGUAUGAAAGGUUGAAUGAAAAAAUAUCUGUCUCUAUUUAAAUUAAUUAAAAUUUUAUUUUUAAGUUAAAAAGCUUAAAUCUAUAUGGAAGACGAGAAGACCCUAUAGAGUUUAAUAUCUAAAUUAUAGCUAUUUUUAGUAUUUAAUAUUUUUUAUAUUUUUAAGUAUUUAAUUGGGGUGAUUUAAAAAUUUAUUUAACAUUUUUUUUUAUUUAGUCAUUAAUUUAUGAAUAAUUGAUCCAUUUAGAAAGAUUAAAAGAUAAAAUUACCUUAGGGAUAACAGCGUUAUUUUUUUUAAGAGUUCUAAUCAAAAAAAAAGAUUGCGACCUCGAUGUUGGNUUAAAAUGAAAUUUUGGUGUAGCAGCUGAA
rnacentral:rRNA from 1 species